UACAGGUAUCAGCUGAAAUGUUUCUAAUACACAGUUCUGACAGUGAGAAAAAACUGCUUGUACUUUCAGCACAGUAGACACUGACGAAGGUGAGAAAGGUAGCAUGGGAAGUCCAAACCACGGAGCAUGAAGCUGUGUCAAUAAAGGUAAGAGAUGCUUAGAAACCCUGUGCAAAAUGCUGAAAUUCAGUGACCACCACAGACACGAGCAUGUUGGUUAUUCUUCCACUUGUUCCAUGUGCGUGGCAAAAAUGGAAAUCCUCUGAAAUAACUAACAAAUUAAGUUGUUAUGGAUACUGCAGUCAUCACUAUCUGAACACAAGAAAUCUUUUGGUAGGAGGCUACACAGCUAAAGAUCAACUCAGAGAAUGUUAGAACAAAAUAAGCCAUUUAUCUCACGACAUCUCCCUUCUCCAUUUCUUCUUCCUUCCCAGAAAAUCAAUACUGUAAGACAAAAGGGGCAAAACAUCUGGUUUGGGAAAUUGUGCAAGUGACAAAACCUGGCAUAUGCAUACAUGCACAAACUUCUGACAUGGACCAGUGCUGGAAAAGGAAGAUCUAAGAAAUAUAACUUUUUAAAAAGAUUGCUAUAUUGUUAUAGACUUAUGUUUUAAAAUUGUUCAGAAGAAUUCAAGGACCUUCAAAGCAACAGUUAGACUAAGGUUCGGUCCUCACUUCAGCUGGUACUUGUUUAUACAAGGUAAGCCAAGUCAGGGAAGCCAAUAGGAAGGACCCAACCGAAACAAACACAGUCAACGGUCCCACAGUUAGGUUAUAUGAAAGAUCUGAGACGUGGCUGUUCAAACUCCCUGCACUAAAUUAGGAAAGCUGUUUUCCUACAGCUCUGGACUCCAAUGAAACAUUGGAUUCAAUAAGAUAGAAUCUUUCACCUAUCUUGAUAAAAAUCCCAGUCCUAAACCAGAAUCCACUUUGCUGAAGAUAUGGGGUUCAAAUGCAUUAUCUUCUAGCUGUUUCAAUGAAAGAUUAAGAAAUGGUUCUCUAAACUGUCAAAGACUUCUUCCGAUGGAAGCAAGCAGUGAUGAGAGUGCAGGGAGAAAGGUGUGGAAGCUGGCACAUGUGCAAUUACAAUCAGGAGCCAAGAAUGGAACCGAAGAGUAAAUAAUUGACCCUGCAGUUGUGACAUGGGGCUGUUUUAUAAAUCAGACAAAAUUUCCAACUGUGCUUUCAUUGCUUUAUACUGUUGCCAUAUUCCAGUCUAAAUAUUUUACUAUGUGUGUAAUCGUGGCCAAGUCUAAAUCUAAAUUCCAGAAAAACACUGUGUUGAAGCUUACUGUGGUAAUAGUUCUGAGUGUUUUGAAGUGUUUAACUCUUCUCAUGAGUGAUUCUUUUGUGUACAGGUUAUUCUUGGUCAAAUUUUUCAGCCAACAACUCAUUUCAGUCAGACAUUCACAAAGCCAGGAAAUGUUUCAGCACAACUCGACAUUUUUAAUUACGAAGAAAGGCACAACCCUCAAUUAGUCCACAGAUGGAAGAAGAGGUCAGAAGUGUCUGUCAGCAGAUUGUUGCUGACUGCAUGAAGGGUUCUACCUCAACAAACAAAGCUGCAUGGCCUGGGCCACACAUCUGUGUCACACAAACAGAGGCAUCUUCUGCACCCAGGUUUGGUACAGGUCUUUGAUAUUCAUUCACCACUGAAUACAUCACAAGUGAGUAGGUUUGGCACUUGGAAGUCAGGACAGGGAGCUCAAAAAGAUAAGGUCUUACACUUCACAGCACGGCAAGUGUUGCAAGUGGGGGAAAAAUGAUUCUUCUAAAUGUUCCCUGUGUUCCUCUAAUGGUGUCUAUACGUAGUUAUUUGGCAAGCUACUAUUUGUGUGCGUGUGUCAAAAUUGCACGAGUAAAAUCAACUGUCACUGUACAGCACAUCAUGGAUUUCCUGCCAUGUCCAGUUAAGGACUGCGAUACGUAAGUUGAGCAGAUUCAUUCUAAGAGUGACAAAUGUGAUAAUUCUCAGGAGAUUCCAUCUGGUAAUUUACAGAGAGCUUCCUGUCCGCUAUCUUCUCAGUUUCCCAAACCCACGAUAAUUAAAUGAACUGCAAUUUAUCUCGAAACCCGUAUGCUACUAAAUUUCUCUUAUUCCUUCUGGAGUAACAGCCGGCUUUCUCUAUUAUUGUAUUGUUAUUAAGCACUGGGCUAAUUAUUCUUCAAAGAGAAGGCAUAUAAAUAUGAUGAUAUCAGAAAGCAAGCCAAGAAAAAAAUGGCAGUAAGAAAACAAAGUCACAUUUAACCCCCAUUUUUACUUUUGUAUGAUUGUCUUGCUGCAAGAGGAUUUAGUGGAUAGAACUGAACUACAUCCUGGGCCCUGGAGUGAGAAAUGCCUUCGAAGAACCAAGCCUUGUGUUCCUCACAAAAAGGAUUAGCAGUCUCUGAAUGCCUGACUAAUUUCUUAACACGGUUCACGCCGCUAUAAAGAAAAGUACAGCAGUUCUAAUACUUCACUGCUAUUUGCUUCCGCUUAACUGUAUCAGGGAAGACAGAGGCAGUGAAAGAACGAACU